CCGUGCCAGCAGGGGGAGGACAGAAGGCAUAAGGGACUCAUGGCACUGUGCCCCUGACACAAAGCCCGGGAGGCUGUCCAGACCACAGUGACCGACUCAUCCUGGUUUGUCUGGGACUUUCUGGGUUUUAGGACUAAAGGUCCCUGGUCCUGGGAAACCCCUCCAUGCCAGGGAAACUGGGACCAUGGUUUGUUCUGGUCUAGAGCCGAAGCAAGGGAGUUGCCUGGAGGCCUCCUACCUCACGUGCUCAGACGGAUCACCGUUCUGAAAUGUGACCCAGGCCAGAGGACGGUCCUGCGGAAAACCUCUCAGGGUCUCUCCAGUGCUUGCAGGUGCCAGACUUGUUCCACUGGACAGACGCCCAGGGUCAUGCUGCCAGCUCCACUGACGCCUGCUUUGGCAACCCCAGCCUCUGGCCACCAAAAGCGAGGCUGCAGGGACCACGGUCCCCACUGGAUGUCUCCUCUGAUGUUGCCCUCUCUGGUCCCAGCCCUCUGGCGCAUGAGAACAGAGACUCAAACAGAG